GAGGGUAGAGCUCAGUGGUAGAGCGCAUGCUUAGCAUGCACGAGAUCCUGGGUUCAGUUCCCAGUACCUCCA
rnacentral:tRNA from 1 species